AAAAAAAAUUUAAUUUCAAUUUUAAAUUGUAAAUGAAAUAUGAAAAAAAAAAUUAUAAUAAGAUAAAUGAAGGGACUUUUUUCAAAAAUAACCUUGUGAAAUUUUGUAUUUGCCAAACUAAUCCUGUGAAAUUUUUAUUUGUGAAACUAACCCUGCUCUCGCCACGUGGGCGCCACGUCAGGAAUUUUUCAAAAAGACGGUGAAUCGUUCACCGUCUUUGAUAUUUGUUGUGAAGGCGGUGAAUGGUUCACCGUCUUCAUAAGGCAGUGGACCAUUCACCGUCUUUAGUACAAAUCCCUAUUCUGCACAAAUUUUUUCAAGUCCAUAAUAUGGUGUCCUUGAUAAGACGAUGA
rnacentral:lncRNA from 1 species